AUUAGUCAAUACUUCAGUUAUCGCGGGUGUAUCGAUCACACAGGACUGUGAGUAACAUUCGGCCAUGGUGUUCAUUCAUCACUUUGGGUCUGGCUGUUUAAAUUGCAAAAUUCGAUGUCAAACAGAGGCGACUUUCCGCUCGAAUAAAACAACGACCUUAGAAAAACAUCAGCAGUGAGCUAAAUUUCCGUGUUCAUUUAGUCAAAACUGAAUCCACAUUGCGUCGUCGUUCUUGGUUCGCAAAACGCAAAAAUCAAUGUUUGGAGAAAUACGAAUCGGAUUAGAUUUUCGUGAAAAAUCGAGCGUUAAAUGCCGGUAAUAAAUAAUGAAAAUCCGGCCCCUGAUCCCUGUCGUUCUGAAUACUGCCUCCGAUCCUAAUUUCGCCGUGCCAGACCCGCAGGUCUGUAAUUACGUAAACAAGAAUGAUUGUAAGUACAGUGAACAAAAUCUAAUUCCCUUAAGUUCGUUGAGCUGGCGCGGCAAAAGCGUUAACCCUUUCAUAGAAUGUAAAUUACAUAUUUAGAAAUCUUAGUCCAAAGCUGGCGUGUCAUGCAAUUACGUCAAAGGGAAUUUAUUACUUCAUACAACAUAAGUGUUUCCCCUUUUUCUUGAUUUAUGCGACUCGUCGGGAGAAAGAAAAGGGAAAACUUGCCGACCACCACAUCACGCCAAAUAAAUGGAAAUUCGAAUCGAGAAGCGGAAAAUCUUUUAAUUGGCAACCACCCGUGCGAUUUAAUCGACGGAAAUUUUCUUUUUGCCGACUCAUCAUCGACGUUCCUUUUUCACAAUAUUACACCGAAUCAAAUUACGGAGUUUCUUUCACGGCCAAAAUGUGGCAGUCAUGGUUUGGCAUGGAAGGGAGCACGGCGACAACUUCCGCACGACCUUAUUGGGAAAGUUUCAGAUUACCGUCUCAAAGCCGUGCUGAUGUCAAGCAGAUAGAAGGAAUUUUCGGUCAGAAGAAAAUCAUUCCAGAAUUUCACUUAGAUUUUAAACAAACCGAGUCGGAAUAAAGUUUGAUGUAUAAAUUUGCCACUUGACUAGAGUCAAAGUAACAUUUCCCCGAAAUAAAUUUGAUUCACUUGAA